ensembl:lncRNA
CUGUGGAUCAGUCCUUGAUAAGACACUUAGUGUUCACAGACAGCACAGUGAUAGUAACUUGAGACAGUACAGAGAUCAGCGUGUGUGUCUGUGUGUGUGUGUGUCUGUGUGUGUGUGUGUGUGAGAGAGAGAGAGAGAGAGGACUCUGAUCUGUCGAGGGUCAUGUCCAGCUGUGAGAUGCUAAUACUGAAUCAUUACUGUUAAUUAAGAAUAGGGUGAAGCGUUAAUAAAUACAUAUGCAACAAACGGUAUUGAAGGAUACGAAAUAAAUAUCCAUCUUUUUUAGCAAAAUUGAUUUUCUGAACGUGUGCAACUUCAGAUUCAUCUGCUGCAAUAUGAAAAUACUUGAAGAAUUGAGUGUCGUAAACUGUAUAACAAUUUGCACUACAGACCAGCGUAUUAAUAAUGACAAUUCAUUAAAAUAUCAUGGUAAAACCCAGGUUUUGUAAUAUUAAACAGCUGUUUUGAACAGCUAAAAAUAACUGGAAGUGCAUGAGAGCGGAAGCCAGAUCCGUUCAGUUCACAAACGGCCGUUCUGAUAGAAAUCAGGUGGACACAAUCUAUGAAAUAAAUCAUAAUAUCAUAUUGUGUCAUAUAAAUCAUACAAAUAUCAUA